ACAUUCUCUGCAAAAUAAGCUUAUUUUAUCCAUGUGAUUCUGAGCUGAGCAAUUCUAAGAAGUGUGAGGAUGACAACGUGCACCUGAAAAUUUAAAUACAAACAGGCAAAAUGGGAUCCACUUGAAGGUGGCAUUCACUGCAGCUUUGCACACCUAAAUACAAGUUUUUACUGACACGGCAGUGGAAGGUGACACAUCUAUCAAGCAUAUACUCGAGCAAGACCCAGCCUUCUGUUGUCUGGAGGAAAAUCAGCUCUGGAGAAAUGGAAUUAAGGUUCAAGGAUGUUCAUUGAUUAUUAAAAGAAAACAAAUGGAGUUAAAUUCUACUACCCUCCAACCUGCAUGAAGAAACACUGUUGAUGAAGAGCUUUUAUUAAAGAGAUUCAAGUACCAUAAUGGUAAAAAGAUUCCUACGUGAUCUUAAGGCAUACAGGAACUGCAAAUUCUCUCAUUUGCAAUGUAUAUAG